rnacentral:rRNA from 1 species
GACGAACGCUGGCGGCGUGCUUAACACAUGCAAGUCGAACGGAAAGGCCCUGCUUUUGUGGGGUGCUCGAGUGGCGAACGGGUGAGUAACACGUGAGUAACCUGCCCUUGACUUUGGGAUAACUUCAGGAAACUGGGGCUAAUACCGGAUAGGAGCUCCUGCUGCAUGGCGGGGGUUGGAAAGUUUCGGCGGUUGGGGAUGGACUCGCGGCUUAUCAGCUUGUUGGUGGGGUAGUGGCUUACCAAGGCUUUGACGGGUAGCCGGCCUGAGAGGGUGACCGGCCACAUUGGGACUGAGAUACGGCCCAGACUCCUACGGGAGGCAGCAGUGGGGAAUAUUGCACAAUGGGCGGAAGCCUGAUGCAGCAACGCCGCGUGCGGGAUGACGGCCUUCGGGUUGUAAACCGCUUUCGCCUGUGACGAGGCGUGAGUGACGGUAAUGGGUAAAGAAGCACCGGCUAACUACGUGCCAGCAGCCGCGGUGAUACGUAGGGUGCGAGCGUUGUCCGGAUUUAUUGGGCGUAAAGGGCUCGUAGGUGGUUGAUCGCGUCGGAAGUGUAAUCUUGGGGCUUAACCCUGAGCGUGCUUUCGAUACGGGUUGACUUGAGGAAGGUAGGGGAGAAUGGAAUUCCUGGUGGAGCGGUGGAAUGCGCAGAUAUCAGGAGGAACACCAGUGGCGAAGGCGGUUCUCUGGGCCUUUCCUGACGCUGAGGAGCGAAAGCGUGGGGAGCGAACAGGCUUAGAUACCCUGGUAGUCCACGCUGUAAACGGUGGGUACUAGGUGUGGGGUCCAUUCCACGGGUUCCGUGCCGUAGCUAACGCUUUAAGUACCCCGCCUGGGGAGUACGGCCGCAAGGCUAAAACUCAAAGGAAUUGACGGGGCCCCGCACAAGCGGCGGAGCAUGCGGAUUAAUUCGAUGCAACGCGUAGAACCUUACCUGGGUUUGACAUGGAUCGGGAGUGCUCAGAGAUGGGUGUGCCUCUUUUGGGGUCGGUUCACAGGUGGUGCAUGGCUGUCGUCAGCUCGUGUCGUGAGAUGUUGGGUUAAGUCCCGCAACGAGCGCAACCCUUGUUCACUGUUGCCAGCACGUUAUGGUGGGGACUCAGUGGAGACCGCCGGGGUCAACUCGGAGGAAGGUGGGGAUGACGUCAAGUCAUCAUGCCCCUUAUGUCCAGGGCUUCACGCAUGCUACAAUGGCUGGUACAGAGAGUGGCGAGCCUGUGAGGGUGAGCGAAUCUCGGAAAGCCGGUCUCAGUUCGGAUUGGGGUCUGCAACUCGACCUCAUGAAGUCGGAGUCGCUAGUAAUCGCAGAUCAGCAACGCUGCGGUGAAUACGUUCCCGGG